GAUGAACGCUGGCGGCGUGCCUAAUACACGCAAGUCGAGCGAACGGACGAGAAGCUUGCUUCUCUGAUGUUAGCGGCGGACGGGUGAGUAACACGUGGAUAACCUACCUAUAAGACUGGGAUAACUUCGGGAAACCGGAGCUAAUACCGGAUAAUAUUUUGAACCGCAUGGUUCAAAAGUGAAAGACGGUCUUGCUGUCACUUAUAGAUGGAUCCGCGCUGCAUUAGCUAGUUGGUAAGGUAACGGCUUACCAAGGCAACGAUGCAUAGCCGACCUGAGAGGGUGAUCGGCCACACUGGAACUGAGACACGGUCCAGACUCCUACGGGAGGCAGCAGUAGGGAAUCUUCCGCAAUGGGCGAAAGCCUGACGGAGCAACGCCGCGUGAGUGAUGAAGGUCUUCGGAUCGUAAAACUCUGUUAUUAGGGAAGAACAUAUGUGUAAGUAACUGUGCACAUCUUGACGGUACCUAAUCAGAAAGCCACGGCUAACUACGUGCCAGCAGCCGCGGUAAUACGUAGGUGGCAAGCGUUAUCCGGAAUUAUUGGGCGUAAAGCGCGCGUAGGCGGUUUUUUAAGUCUGAUGUGAAAGCCCACGGCUCAACCGUGGAGGGUCAUUGGAAACUGGAAAACUUGAGUGCAGAAGAGGAAAGUGGAAUUCCAUGUGUAGCGGUGAAAUGCGCAGAGAUAUGGAGGAACACCAGUGGCGAAGGCGACUUUCUGGUCUGUAACUGACGCUGAUGUGCGAAAGCGUGGGGAUCAAACAGGAUUAGAUACCCUGGUAGUCCACGCCGUAAACGAUGAGUGCUAAGUGUUAGGGGGUUUCCGCCCCUUAGUGCUGCAGCUAACGCAUUAAGCACUCCGCCUGGGGAGUACGACCGCAAGGUUGAAACUCAAAGGAAUUGACGGGGACCCGCACAAGCGGUGGAGCAUGUGGUUUAAUUCGAAGCAACGCGAAGAACCUUACCAAAUCUUGACAUCCUUUGACAACUCUAGAGAUAGAGCCUUCCCCUUCGGGGGACAAAGUGACAGGUGGUGCAUGGUUGUCGUCAGCUCGUGUCGUGAGAUGUUGGGUUAAGUCCCGCAACGAGCGCAACCCUUAAGCUUAGUUGCCAUCAUUAAGUUGGGCACUCUAAGUUGACUGCCGGUGACAAACCGGAGGAAGGUGGGGAUGACGUCAAAUCAUCAUGCCCCUUAUGAUUUGGGCUACACACGUGCUACAAUGGACAAUACAAAGGGCAGCGAAACCGCGAGGUCAAGCAAAUCCCAUAAAGUUGUUCUCAGUUCGGAUUGUAGUCUGCAACUCGACUACAUGAAGCUGGAAUCGCUAGUAAUCGUAGAUCAGCAUGCUACGGUGAAUACGUUCCCGGGUCU
rnacentral:rRNA from 1 species